rfam:Populus trichocarpa isolate Nisqually-1 chromosome 4, whole genome shotgun sequence.
UAGUCUGUCUAGGCCAAAUCCCUAUCUAGUAAUGUUAGAUCAUCAUCUAAAUACUUAGAACCACCUGUGUCUACAAGCCUGACUACAUUAAUUUGCAAGUCAUACCAACAGAACUUAAACCUAGC